rnacentral:tRNA from 1 species
CAGUUGUUCGCGCUGGGACAGAGUGCGUCGAUGCUGGUGUCAUCGAGCAUUCCGCUGAUCGUGAUUGCGGCGAUUGCC